rnacentral:misc_RNA from 1 species
AACAUCGCGCACCUGCGGGAACCUGCGGAAGGAUCAUUACCGAGUUUACAACUCCCAAACCCCUGUGAACAUACCUAUACGUUGCCUCGGCGGAUCAGCCCGCGCCCUGUAAAACGGGACGGCCCGCCCGAGGACCCUAAACUCUGUUUUUAGUGGAACUUCUGAGUAAAACAAACAAAUAAAUCAAAACUUUCAACAACGGAUCU